UACGGAGGAUGCGAGCGUUAUCCGGAUUUAUUGGGUUUAAAGGGCGUGUAGGCGGGAAAGCAAGUCAGAUGUGAAAACCAUGGGCUCAACCUGUGGCCUGCAUUUGAAACUGUUUUUCUUGAGUACUGGAGAGGCAGACGGAAUUCCUAGUGUAGCGGUGAAAUGCGUAGAUAUUAGGAGGAACACCAGUGGCGAAGGCGACUUACUGGACUGUAACUGACGCUGAGGCAUGAGAGCAUGGGGAGCAAACAGG
rnacentral:rRNA from 1 species